CCUUUUUUCAACCAGUGAAACUAAUCCCCCCGUGAAGAAACGGGAAUUCCACUAUAAGACGAGAAGACCCUGUGGAGCUUAAGGCAAAGUAAUUUUUAUUACUUCAAAUAACCCUUUCCGAAGACUAUACACAACAACAUCUUAAUUAUUUAGCCUUUAGUUGGGGCGACUGCGGAGUAAAACCAACCCUCCACGCAAACAAUCUCCCACAGAGCCACAACUCUGCACAUCAACACAUUGACAACAAUUGACCCAAUUACUUGAGCAACGAAACAAGUUACCCCAGGGAUAACAGCGCAAUCCAUUUCAAGAGUCCCUAUCGACAAAUGGGUUUACGACCUCGAUGUUGGAUCAGGGUAUCCCAGUGGUGCAGCCGCUACUAAAGGUUCGUUUGUUCAACGAUUAAAACCCUACGUGA
rnacentral:rRNA from 1 species